rnacentral:sRNA from 1 species
GCUGGGCCCGGUGGAGCACGCCUGUAAUCCCAGCAGCUUGGGAGGCUGAGGCAGGAGGAUCACAAGUUCAAAACCAGCCUCGGCAACAGCCAGGCGCCGAGCAACUCCGUGAGAUCCUGUCUCUA